GGCCCAUUAGCUCAGUUAGUUAGAGCGUCGUACUAAAAUAACGCGAAAGUCGCGGGUUCGAUCCCCUCAUGGGUCA